rnacentral:rRNA from 1 species
AGAGUUUGAUCCUGGCUCAGGACUAACGCUGGCGGCGUGCCUAACACAUGCAAGUCGAACGAGGUAGCAAUACCUAGUGGCAGACGGGUGAGUAACACGUAGUCAAUCUACCUCUUAGUGGGGGAUAACUAGCCGAAAGGUUAGCUAAUACCGCAUACGAUCGUUGAGCGGCAUCGCUUAACGAUGAAAGGAGCAAUCCG